AGACGUGAAAUAGGGUUUCAGAACGGCUCGGGCUCUGCUCGUCAGAGGAUCGGAGAACUUGAAGCUACAUACAUUGUGAUCAGCCCGCCUGAGUCUCCCGUUCGAAACGUUGUGAAUUCACCGGAUCGAACCGUCCUGGACUCACACGCGACGCUACCGAGACAUUCUCGUUGAAGCAGCGUUUACAGCGGGAAUUCAGCUAGCCGGAUUUAACCGGCCGGACGUAACCCAGAAUACACCGGCUGAAUCUCUGUUAGUUUUAGACGUUCCUUCCCACACCUCAACCCCUCAGCCGGAAGGUAAAUGAAUAGCAGUUUGUUACUAUUUUAUCCAGUAUUUAUAUUUAACUUUAUAAAUAAAAUUUCUUCAGCUGCAGCCCAAGCAGAGUAUCUCACCCCUCAACGAGCAGCUUUCAGGGCAAACAU